rnacentral:lncRNA from 1 species
CUCAACUUUCUCCUUUUCUUUUCUUUUUCUCAAGUACCCCUACACCCCUUUUUAUAGCCUUAAAGACCUCCUAGCCAUCCCAAAGACUCCUAAACCUUUACAUCUUCUCUUUCUCUCUUUUUCCUAUUUUAAUCGGGACAUCCAAAACCAUAGCCACCCUUCUUUCCAUGCAUCUCAGGCCCACACCGUGUCUCAGGCUGCUCACCCACUGCUGAACCCGAUCGCACCC